rnacentral:rRNA from 1 species
GACGAACGCUGGCGGCGUGCCUAAUACAUGCAAGUUGAGCGAUGAAGAUUGGUGCUUGCACCAAUUUGAAGAGCAGCGAACGGGUGAGUAACGCGUGGGGAAUCUGCCUUUGAGCGGGGGACAACAUUUGGAAACGAAUGCUAAUACCGCAUAACAACUUUAAACAUAAGUUUUAAGUUUGAAAGAUGCAAUUGCAUCACUCAAAGAUGAUCCCGCGUUGUAUUAGCUAGUUGGUGAGGUAAAGGCUCACCAAGGCGAUGAUACAUAGCCGACCUGAGAGGGUGAUCGGCCACAUUGGGACUGAGACACGGCCCAAACUCCUACGGGAGGCAGCAGUAGGGAAGCUUCGGCAAGGGACGAAAGUCUGACCGAGCAACGCCGGGUGAGUGAAGAAGGUUUUCGGAUCGUAAAACUCUGUUGGUAGAGAAGAACGGUGGUGAGAGUGGAAAGCUCAUCAAGUGACGGUAACUACCCAGAAAGGGACGGCUAACUACG